AUUGAACGCUGGCGGCAUGCCUUACACAUGCAAGUCGAACGGUAACAGGUCUUCGGAUGCUGACGAGUGGCGAACGGGUGAGUAAUACAUCGGAACGUGCCUAGUAGUGGGGGAUAACUACUCGAAAGAGUGGCUAAUACCGCAUGAGAUCUACGGAUGAAAGCAGGGGAUCGCAAGACCUUGUGCUACUAGAGCGGCCGAUGGCAGACUAGGUAGUUGGUGGGAUAAAAGCUUACCAAGCCGACGAACUGUAGCUGGUCUGAGAGGACGAUCAGCCACACUGGGACUGAGACACGGCCCAGACUCCUACGGGAGGCAGCAGUGGGGAAUUUUGGACAAUGGGCGAAAGCCUGAUCCAGCAAUGCCGCGUGCAGGAUGAAGGCCUUCGGGUUGUAAACUACUUUUGUACGGAACGAAAAGCCCCGGGUUAAUACCCUGGGGUCAUGACGGUACCGUAAGAAUAAGCACCGGCUAACUACGUGCCAGCCGCCGCCGUAA
rnacentral:rRNA from 1 species